rnacentral:pre_miRNA from 1 species
AUAUAUAUCUUCAAUCGAUUUGAGGUUAAUUGUGCACGAAAUAUCCAAAAUUCAGUAAAUUUGGACUGAUAUUGGCUAUUUGGUGCACAAUUAACCUCAAAUCGUUGGAAGAU